AGGAGGAGGGCCGCCAUGGCUUCAGCAGACGAUACCCAGGGAUGCCAGCGGGCGCAGCAGAAAGGCGCAUGGCUGGGGGCAGGCGCAGGGCUGGCAGCAGGGCGGGCAGACGACGACUCCCGUUGCUGGCGGACAGACCAGGAUGGAUGGAAGGGGCCUGGCACUAAGCGGGCACCGACACACCCGAGGCUCGGCUUCCUUACCUGGAAGGGAGCCACCAACCCUGCCCCCCGGAGUCCCGGAGACAAGAGACGCUCUGGCCCUGGGGACAUGGACAGAGUCUUGUUCCAGAGAAACGGACCUGCCCUCAUUCCCUCCAGCCUUUGGAGGGCCCCCGGGCCUGGUGUCCUGGCCAGGAAAACGGCAGGGUAGAGGGAAAACAGCAGGCCAAGCCCUGCACCCUCCAGCCAGCCCAGCAGCACACCCCACAAGCCACCCAAACACCCAGCCCUGAAGGUCGGGUGCGUGAGAGCAGGGCCACACGUGUCCUUUGGCCCUCGGUGCCCGCAGUGCGGCCCCUGGGCGUGUGCAUUGUGGGUAUACACAGCCCCAUCGGCCACUUGGUAUCACUCUCCCAAGUGAGAGAAGUGUAUGGUGAGGCGGGGGACCUGAGGCGGGCUUGGGGGUCCACCAUGCCCAAGACAGGACGGCCACGCCAGCUCCUCCUAAGGCUGCCCUCUGCCCCUCACCAGCCCCCAGCCCAGCUCCACUUCUUCCUGGCACUGUCGCCACCUGCAGGCGUGGGCAGUGCCACCUGAUUGCCAGUUCCACGGGGCCAGGGCCAGGUCUGCCCUGAUAACAGCUUAUCAAGGCCCAGCACACAGUAGGUGCUCAAGCGUUGGUGACUCUGUGAGACGGGCACGCCACCUUGUGGCUCCACUGAGGACCACCACCAGACAGACCGGGGCACCAUCACCCACCCCUCAGUCCAGCACCGCGUGGGGCACAGACUGCGUGGCAAGCACUGCGGGGCUGUUGGCGGAGGCCAGCUCCCCAAGGGGACAGUGGGGGGCAUUCUCUCUUCUUGAAUACCUGCAGUGAGGGAGGCCUGGGUGGCUGUGGAGAGACCCUCAAGCCCACCUCCGGCCCCCUUUACUCCACACAGCAGCCUGUCGGGCAGGGCCACCAGCACCCACUUCACAAGGGGGAAAACAAAGGUCCUGGUGAGGGGCUGGACAUGACUCUACCUCUCUGGGCCUUUGUUUUCCUCAUCUGAGAAGCGGGGUUAAUAACCCCAUGGACAGAUCUGAGGAGGUCACUGAGGCAAGGCGCCCACACAGAGCUGCAGAGGUAGGGUCCCCGUCCAGGCAAGGCCACAGGCACCCUGUGUCCACUGACCCCCCUCUAGUCCACAGCCCUACACGGCUGCGACCAGGGACCAAGGACCCACUGGAGUCUACACACCACCAAUGCUAAGCUCCCAGGCACUACUCACCACCACCUGCUGGGCUGACCACAGAGCCCACCAGCCAGCAGGGGAGGCUCACUGCCUGCCCGCUGGCCAGGGCCAGAGUGCCCAGCACACUGUGACCUCUGGCCUGGACCCCACUCACCACCCUCCACCCGGGGAAGGCCAGGCCCAGGGCGACAGCUGCUCUGCAGUCAUGGAGCUGACAUGCCACCCACCCCAGCUCCACCAGCCACCAGCUAGCUGCCCUGGAGAACACAGGAGCGUGUCCCCGAGCCGCUUGGCCAAGGCUGGGACCUGCUCUAAGCUGGGGUACUGAUUGGACAAAUGAACCGCUGCCGGGCUACCAGCGCCCACGCGAUCUGAGAGCCGGGGCUUGCUCGGGUCCCUGGGACCUGGAGCUCAACCUGGGCGCCAUACGCGGGGCCGGGAAGCCCGUGGUGUUUGUGGCGGGCAGGGGCGCUAGAGACCAAGUGCCCCCAAACUGUGCGGAGGAGCAAACUGAGCAGGGGGCUGGGGGACGGCACGUGAUCCCCAGCGCUGCUUGGGGCACAGGGACUCCGGAUGAGGGUCUCCCGCCCCCAGGAUCGGGAGCAGGGACCAAGCCUCCCAGCCCGGCGUUCACCGCCGGCCACGCGGGGGAAGCGGCGGGCGGCGCCCCGAGCCGGCCCCCCACCCUACCCCGGGCUGAGAGCUGCACGUGGCAGGCGCCGGGCCCUCACUCGCGCCGCCUAGGCCGCGGGGCGCGGGGUCCCGGCCCCCCAGGAGGCCGCCCGCCCCCGGCCCGCGCGCCCAGCCGCGCGCCCGCACCGCGCGCGCCCCCGCCCGGGCAGGCGCGAGGAGACUGACCUGGCGGUCCGGGCGCCGGCUCCACGGGCGGAGGGCUCGGGGCGCGCGUGCGCGUGCACGAGGGCCCCGGCAC
ensembl:lncRNA